CAAUUUAGUAGUAUGUAGACAUGGCCCUUGAUGGAAUGGGAAAAUCAGCUCAUUCAUUCAUUCACUCCUUCAUUCAAUCUUUAUUCACAACUAUUUAUCAAACUUUUACUUUGUGAUAUGCUCUGUGCAAGGCACUGGUGAUAUAAAGAUGAAAAAGACCUCCUCAUGCCUGUGUUCUCAGUUCUAUCUGAAACACCAGCUUUUCAGACAAUAAUUAUAGUUGUAUAAGAACAUCAGUUAGGCACUUGUUCUGUGCCAGGUACCAUGACAGUAUUUGACAUUCAUGGCUUUACCAUGUCCCUAUAAUGUAGGCACUAUUAUUAUUCCCAUUUUAUAGAUGAAGUAAAUGAGACUCAGGGAGGUGAAAUAACUGAUUUGAGGUCAUUUAUUGGUAAGCAGCACAGCUAGAGUUUGAACCAUCUCCAUUCUUAAUCAUAUUACACUAUAUUUAUUCCUGAAAUCUCUAUGAGUAAUUUAGUAAUUUGAAGAAUUACAGUUUAAGGUGCCAACUAAAGUAAGCUUAUAAAACUUUAAGAUUUUUAAAUUCUAAGUUACUUAUGGGCUAUGGUCUUAUUUCUUACCAGAAAACACCUGUCUGCAGGAUUUUGUAGAUGAUAAAAUUUAGGAAACUGUUGUUAAGAAACUUGCCCAAGGUCAAGUUGUUGGGAAGAACAUACCAGGGAUUCAGACCAGGGCUGCCUUACUUUGAACUAUUAAGCUCUCCUUCUGAAAAGGAGCAAUUGAAAAAAUACUGAUUUUGCUUUGUUUCUGAUUUUAGUGCUCAUUCAUGUUGAAUGUAGAAAUGUUAGAAACCAUAUAUGCAUGCAUAACAACAAUAAAAAUAAAAAAGACACUGAAUUUUUUUUCUAUCUCUAUCCCCAUAAUUACUUCUAUACUUUGUCACUGAUGAAAAGUUCAUUGUGGGUUUUUAUCCCUCUUGCUGCCUGUAUGCUGAUUUUGUUUCUAGCCUAAAGCUGUUUGCUCCUGGAAGGAAGGGAAAAUUUCAUUUAGUUUUGUCUCCCACAGCACCUGUCCCCUUACCAAGCAUAUGGUAAAUUCUCAGUAAAUACUUGUUGCUUUAAAUUAAAUUGAAAUCACUUACUGCCCAUCACACAUCCCUUUUGCAACUAUAGGAUGCAGCAACACAAUCCGGCGCCCAAAGAAGGAAGGGAGUCCUGUUUUUCUCUCAUUCUCAAAUCCCAUCCCCCUGUGCCUGGGGAACUGCUCAAUUGCUGUGCUUUUCUCUGGGAUGAAACUCAUAGGACACCAAGGUCAAUUCUCUGCCAGUCCCUGGCUCCAUCAGGAGUACAGUGAACAUUGGAAGAAUGAAUCAAGGAGUCACUUCCCUCAGCAGGGGUUUAAUGGUUCACUCUCUGUCUAUAGUAUAGGAAAUGGGCUCAUGGACUUCCCCUGGCCUGCAGAUUCCAUCACUGCAGGAACUCCUAUGCUUACCAUCUCCCUUGGUACCAAAGAUCACAGCCACAACAUCCAGGGGCUGUUCUCAGUCAUUGCUCCCUGACCUGCUCCUUCUUCUUAACAUUCUCCUUUUGGUUUAUGGACAAUAUACUGUCUUUGCUUCUGCUUCUUAUCUUUCCGGUUGUUAUUUCUCUGCUCCCUCACAUGGGCCACUUGCUAAAGUUUACUCAUCCAUCUGCUGCUUUUGUCUUUCUAUGGUGUGUUUUCUAGAGACUUCAUCCAGAAUGCCAGUCUCAGUGAGCAUCACUGUUUCAGAGUCCACUCCAAUUACAUGCCUUGGCCUUUGUGCAGACCCCUAUCUUCCUAGCAGAAGUGUUACUGAGCCAAAUUUCUAUCCACUCGCCUGUGCAGUUCACUGACACCAGGUUUUAGUGAAAGUGCAGCAUUUUGCAGAGUGCCAUACAAGGAACCUGGGACACGUAGUGCUAAAAAGACUUGAACUCCUGGUGGGUUUCAGCAAAAAGCAUUUUUAAAGACCAGCCGGGGGACAGGGCACGGGAUAUGUGAUAAGUGUGUGCACAGUUCUCUAAUUGGAUGAUGGUGAGGUUACAGGGUGGUGUCACAGGGGUUAACAGUAUCAAUCCUGAGGCGCCAGUAAGUCUGGGGGCUAAGUGCUCAUGAUCAUCAACUAGUUAAUUUCUCCCUUUUGGUGGUAGUUUUAGCAACUGUAAAACAAUGUGGGAAAUGUGCAUCAGAUACUAUUAUCUGACAUGUUUUUAGCCUCUAAAGCCUUAUUCCUCUGACCCUUUUGGAAAUAGACCAUAUUAAGUCUUCACUGACUUGUGAAUGUUCAGUUAAAGAAGCCGUGUUGGUAUUUCUUGAUUCCCUCAGUGACUUGCUGAAAGGUCCACAAGGAAAAAGUGUGGCUAGUGCUUCUGUAUCCUCCCCUUGUAGUUUAGUUCCAAAUUUCCCCUUCUAGACCUACUUGCUAGCCAAAGCAGAAAGUAAAUGAACUAGGCACUAAUGAGAGAUUAUUUGGUUCAUCAUUAAGCUUGUAAGCAGUUUCUCUUCAUCAAGAGAGGGUUAAUUUUCUCACUGUGAUAGUGUUUCCUUAAUACCAUUCCCUCUCUAGCGACUCAUUUCUGCAUCUAAGAACCUACUGUAAGGCUGCCUCACAGUCUUAGUCCUUGGUUUCCCAGGUAGCUCUGGCCUGGGAUUUUCCUGUCUUGCAUCCCUUGCAUCAUUCCAGUCUCUGAUCUCACAUGCUAUCUCCCCUAAAAGGCCUUUCCCCAUCACCUGAGCUAAAGUACUAUCUUUCUCCCCCACCCCUUGUAAGUCACCUUCUGUGACAUGAUCUGUUUUAUAGUUUUCAUACUGACACAUACUAAAAUUAUCUUGUUCCCACAUUUAUUUCUUUGCUCUUGGUGUCUCCCUGUCCCCUUCUGAUAGGGAUGGAGUAGAUAUAGGUAGUUUUAGAAGUCCCAAUAAAGGACCACAAAUAACGAGGGAAACUUAGGGGACAUUGGGAGAUGGCUGUAAGUAAAUAAAUUGCUUAAAAAAGCCAUCAGAACAAGGCAGGCUUCCUUCAUUAGUGGAAUCUUGAGAAUUGCCUUUAGGUCAUUGGGUGGGGGAUGGGAUUAGGCCUGCAUUCAUAUUCAGAUCAAGGGCAAGAGUUUGAGGACAACCCUUCUGCGAAUUUGAAUACACACCUUAAUGACACUACAGAGGAGCUAUUACUCCUAGGAAGGAAGAGGCGGGCUUUUCCAACCCCCACUCCCCUUGGAUGAUAAAACUGUAGCCCACUAGAUCCUGGGGCAGAGCUUCCGUGCCUGCCCACUUGUAUCUCUCACAGCCAUCCUAUCCUAAUAAAUCUAUUUCUUGCCUAUCACUUCAUCUCUUGCUGAAUUCCUUCUGCAUGGAAGACAUGAAGAACCUGAACCUCAGUGAGUCCAGACACAGGAUGAGUGAUUCUAAUUUAAAACCUUGGAUUCAAGUCCCAAUCUGGGUUUUGGCUAGGUUCUGGCUGUUAAUGCUGUCAGUUUCAUUUCCACCACCUCCUGCAAGUGGAAUUCCAUUCCAUGAUGGCAGAGGCAAAGUCUGUCAUGCUCACCAAACCUCUUCCCAGAAUUUAAAAUAGAAUGUAACACAAUAGGUUCUGUGUCAGUACAUUUUGAAUAAUUGAACUUAAUUCCCUGGUUUGGGAUCUGGAACCAAUAGUGAAACCCCUCUGCACAGGAUCCUAAGUUUUCCUUUGCCUAGUUCUUCUACUUAGGAGCUAAUUUGGUUUUGCAAUUUUGUCUUCUGUAUUCUGUUUUUAAAAAUAAUAAAACCUUUGAAAUAUUAUAAAAAUGUUUUUGGGAUAAGUUAUACAAAUGGCUUACUACCUUUCUUACCUUCCGCCUUUCAUUAAGCUAAGAAGUACCCUCUCUUGUUACUUUAUUUGCAGAACUUAUGCUUUUCUAAAGGCCAUCAAGUUACUUUAAUUUGUGAUACUUUUACAGUAGACUUUACAAAGUUGUGGUAGCUAAUAAUAUCAUAUGAACUUUGACAUGAGGAAAUUGGGCCCUAAAUAGGUCAAGUGGCUAUACAUGUGUCCCUUUUUAAGUUGAAAAGUAGUGAGGAACUGCAGGUGAUGGACCUUGUUUCCUAUGAUUUAUACCCUCUGCCUCUUUUCUUACUCUUUCUGCUCUUUUAAUAUUAACCUCCUUACUAGUCUUUCUUUCCUUAGGACCUGAUAUACCAUUUGUUCCACAUUAUCAGUGAUUUUCCCUGGGUCUUUAAUUCCUUCAUGGAUGUCUCAUUGAUGUGCUCCUAGACUGAUGCAGAAACAGUCUUCCAGUUCUUCCAUGUGCUUUUGGGUGUUGAGUGUAGCAUAGUGGUUGGCAAAGGGCAAGCUUUCUAGUAAAGGGCUGACGUAAUGAAUCACUAAGAGAUAGCUAGCUUGUCUAAAGCCUAAAGAUUGGCAAUCAACAAAAAGACUAUUUUUAAAAAUACUAAACUGAUGAGAAUGGGCUUCCAAAUGCAUUCUCCAUUCUUUUGACAUCCUUCCUCCCCAGGGCAUAUAGGUGUAUCAGAAACAAAUGUUUGUCCUUGGAGGCAGGAAACCUGGAUGUUGCCCUUGCUUUUUCAAUUACUCACUAUUUGAUUUUGGUUAACUCACUUCUUUGCUGAGAUUGGUUCCUUUUUCUAUAACAGAGGCUUUCAAUCUUUCCUUAUUUAAAGCCAGUGUAUUAUUUGUUCAAAUGUUGGUUUCAUUUAGAGUGUUAAAAAAAUAAAAUGAUGUAAAAGAAGUUAUUCUGGUUGAAACAAUGUCAUGGGCUGGGUAUACAUUGGCGCAGUUUGGAAACCAGUGAUCAAUAAAAUGGACGUAGUGAUAUCUGCUCUGCCUCAUUCUCUGUGUCCUCUUAAGGAUCAAAUGAAAUAAAGUAUUUGAAAGAGUUUUAUAAAAUCAAUUUGUUCUAUCAAUUAUGAUAUCAUCAUGAAAAUAAUUUUACCAUUUUCAUACCUCCCUUAAGUUCAUCCACCAAACAUGUAACUGCACACCCAGACCAAAAACUUUAAAGCCUUAAAACUGAGCAGCUACAUUCUAGUAGGAAUGUUUUAAUUCAACAGGAGGACUGAGUUUGGAAACACUUGGAAAGAUUCUAAUCAAGGUUAUUGAAGGCAAAAUGAGGGUGCAGCUAUAUGAAAGGAGACAGUAUUAAGCCAGAAGUUGGGGCAGCGUUGUUUGGCAUUAAUUAAACUUGUAAUAAGUCACAAUAAUUCCCUAGUAGCCCUUCUGGGAAGCCGUAAUCUAGUUCCCAAGUGAAUAAGCUGUAAGGCCAAAGGCCAAAUAGUUUAACAAAAGGGAAUUAGAUGAUUAUCUUGUAAACUAGAGGAGCAAUGAUAUUGUGGCUUAAUUAGAGAGCUCAGUAGGAAGCUCAAGUUACAGCAGAAAUCUUAAAGCAGGUGCCUGGUCAUUUAUAAGAUACUGCAGUUUUUUAAUU
rnacentral:lncRNA from 1 species